GUGCUCACUUUGAUAUCAUAUAUGUUAAAAUUAAGACAAUAGAAGAUUAGCUUGGCCCUUGAACAAAAAAUACAUGCAAAUUUGUGAAGCAUUCCUUAUUUUU